rnacentral:lncRNA from 1 species
AUCCUGGCAAGGGACGUCAGUUGAGCGUUUGGUUCUGGCUUGGGCAUGUCGCAGCAGCGCUCCUCUUCACGUUUUACGUUUCUCGUGCGUUUUCUGUCAACGGACUGCUUCAAAGACAAUUCACGGUGGCAGGAAGGCUGAUCGACGGCGAGGAAGUGCCGCGUGCUUUGGGAUCGAACCACCACUACGUUGAAGGGUGACUGCAUCACGAACGAGGGCCGCAUCUGCGAGUUUGUCGUCUGCCGAAGCAGCGAAGGACGGGGGAUUGUGAUCGGCCCGGCCUACUCUUCGAGUCACACCAAGGUGCGGGGAGAGAGAGAGUGUUCGAGCCGUGGGGGCCCGAGCUGUGGUGCUGGCGGACCCCAGGUUCCCUCCACCCAACCCCCUCCCUCCCAGAGGCAGCGCAACGCCGGCCUGCUGAGCCUCAUUCUCGACUACUCUCCGUGGGGGCCGGAGGAGGCAGCUCGCACAACCACGCGAUGGUCGCAUUCCAUCCUGCCACGCAUGGCCUGCCACCAGAAAGGGAAGGGGGCUCGCAGCACUCUGGGGGGGCAACUGCAGCGCCGGCCAAAACGACGCGCCAAGCGAGGCCUUAUGGGCAAGGGUGCCGGGUAAUAUACCUCAUCACACGCGGAAAAGAAAUGAGAAGAGCACUAGUUAUAUUAACUUUUCCAAGUCGCUCGUUUUCGAGUGAAAGCCAAGCGAGAAAGGUUCACAGGAGGAUGGAGACGCGAUAGUGGUCGGACAAAAGCUAUCGCUGGAGCAGAGAGAGCAUCGUUUCGACAAGCCGCGACGAAGUCGCGUAAUAUUUGCUCCAACGACAUUCUCUUGUUGUACCGCUGUUUAUUAAUAUCCGGGUGGUCCGUUACAAUACAAUGUCACGCACGUCCAACUCGGGCCACGCUGCUCGCGUAACAGGCGCCCAUUUGAAAAUUGCAGUAAAUUCAAAAGCGCGUUGCCGUGGUUGCGUCGCUGUAAACGUGUAAAAUAAAUUACGGGGGGUUUUACGUGCCAAAACCACCAUCUGAUUAUGAGGCACGCCGCAGUGGGUGACUCCGGACUAAUUUCGGCCACCUGGGGUUUUUUUAACGUGCACCUAAAUCUAAGUACUCUGGCGUUUUCAACGCAUCGAAGCGUGGCCGGGAUUCGAUCCCGCGACCUGGUGCUUAGCAGCCCAAAACCAUGACAGCUAAGCAACCACGGCGGGUCACUGAAAAAAAAAAAUAAAAAAAAGAAAGAUAAUGCUCCAAGAAGGUACUGGAAGGAACCAGGUAAUUUCAAAUAGCAUUCCGGUCGUGCGAGAUGUUUCAUGUUUGUGCACUAGCCUAGUGUGACGGUAUUUUCGCGCUUUAUAAUGUCACAGAAGGAUCGUAUAGUUCUAGUAAACUGCUAUCGUCGCUUGACGACUGGGUCGCCUCCGUUAACGUAACACUUGCGUUGUAUGCACGUUUCAAAGCUGUAUCGGCGUACAAUGAGACGAGAACUGUGUUGGAAGCUGAUCGCGACUCUGUUGUCGGUUCAGUGCGGUUCACAGCUUCUUGCAUCGCU